rnacentral:tRNA from 1 species
GGCAGUGUGGUGUAGUGGCUAGAGCACUAAACUGGGAAUCAAGAGAACUGGAUUCUAUUCCUGGCUCUGCCA